CACUGGUGAUACACAAACACAGUUUGACAAUAUAGGAUCACCAUGUAGACACUUUAAUAUGAAGAUUUACUUAAUAUUUUAUAUAGACCUUGCUGAUGAUGUCUGGUGAUUACAAGGUGAUAUAUUUUAUGUGGUCGUCAACAUUCAGGAGGCUUACUUACAUUUCUAUAUUAUGUAGGUUAUGAAAGCUUUCUGAUUCUGUCAUGUACUCCUGUGGAAAAAUAAAAUAAGAUGUGUACAA